GCACUGCUGAGGAGUCCCACAAUAGGUCGAAACGGCCGUCCAGUGU
rnacentral:hammerhead_ribozyme from 1 species